rnacentral:rRNA from 1 species
GCUGGCGGCAGGCCUAACACAUGCAAGUCGAGCGCACUCUUCGGAGUGAGCGGCGGACGGNUUAGUAACGCGUGGGAACGUGCCCUUCUCUAAGGAAUAGCCACUGGAAACGGUGAGUAAUACCUUAUACGCCCUUCGGGGGAAAGAUUUAUCGGAGAAGGAUCGGCCCGCGUUAGAUUAGAUAGUUGGUGGGGUAACGGCCUACCAAGUCUACGAUCUAUAGCUGGUUUUAGAGGAUGAUCAGCAACACUGGGACUGAGACACGGCCCAGACUCCUACGGGAGGCAGCAGUGGGGAAUCUUGGACAAUGGGCGCAAGCCUGAUCCAGCCAUGCCGCGUGAGUGAUGAAGGCCUUAGGGUCGUAAAGCUCUUUCGCCAGAGAUGAUAAUGACAGUAUCUGGUAAAGAAACCCCGGCUAACUCCGUGCCAGCAGCCGCGGUAAUAC